rnacentral:SRP_RNA from 9 species
CGGAAGCAAGCAAGGGUCAAUGAAUUCAGGUAUGUGCA